rnacentral:rRNA from 1 species
UACGAAGGGUGCAAGCGUUAAUCGGAAUUACUGGGCGUAAAGGGUGCGUAGGCGGUUGUUUAAGUCUGUCGUGAAAUCCCCGGGCUCAACCUGGGAAUGGCGAUGGAAACUGGGCAGCUAGAGUGUGUCAGAGGAUGGUGGAAUUCCCGGUGUAGCGGUGAAAUGCGUAGAUAUCGGAAGGAACACCUGUGGCGAAAGCGGCUCACUGGACCAUUACUGACGCUGAGGCACGAAAGCUAGGGGAGCAAACAGG